rnacentral:piRNA from 1 species
UAAGAGUAGGGGUUCAUGGGG